CACAGUCAUUCAUUGCUGAGAAGUCACAUCAGGGUCUCAUUCUUCAAGCUGACAGUGGAGUGUGUGUCAGCCUGAGAGCCUGAUUAUUAGUUUUAAAGAGCUUAUUCCAUUCUCUUAAAAAUGGGGUCAGUUCAUCUUCAUCACAUCUGUCUCUGUGUGGCUCUGCAUGCCACAACAACCAUUGGCUCUAGGCAUGACAUUAUUAAGGUAUAGUGUAUGCAUCUGUCGGGUGGGGGUCUGCCUGUGCGCGCAUGUUCUCCACAGCCAGCACUCAGUGAGAUACAGAGAAUGAGUAAUUAAUUGAUUUGCUCAUUUGCAUUCAGAUAGGGCAGGGAAGAGAGGAGUUCCCAUCCAGCCUCCCUCACUGUUCAUUGACUACAGGAGAACCCUGGCUAAUGUGUCUUUGUAAGCGGCAAUCAACAUGGCCUUGGAGCAAGUCAUUUUAUUGAGAGAUGUAGUGAGAGGAUGUAGCUAUCAUGAGUAUUUGUCCUCCUCACAUCCCAAAGGAUGCUUAGCUUUGGCCAGAUGACUCACGUACAGCCACAGCCAGGGUUCUAGAGCUGUGUCAUGGCUCCCAUGCUCCUCCUCAUUCUGUUAAGCAGUAACACAAAGGCUGAGCUUACCUUCCAGAGAGAAAAGAG